rnacentral:rRNA from 1 species
GAUGAACGCUGGCGGCGUGCCUAAUACAUGCAAGUCGAGCGAACGGACGAGAAGCUUGCUUCUCUGAUGUUAGCGGCGGACGGGUGAGGAACACGUGGAUAACCGACCUAUAAGACUGGGAUAACUUCGGGAAACCGGAGCUAAUACCGGAUAAGAGUGUGAACCGCAUGGUUCAAAAGUGAAAGACGGUCUUGCUGUCACUUAUAGAUGGAUCCGCGCUGCAUUAGCUAGUUGGUAAGGUAACGGCUUACCAAGGCAACGAUGCAUAGCCGACCUGAGAGGGUGAUCGGCCACACUGGAACUGAGACACGGUCCAGACUCCUACGGGAGGCAGCAGUAGGGAAUAUUCCGCAAUGGGCGAAAGCCUGACGGAGCCACGCCGCGUGAGUGAUGAAGGUCUUCGGAUCGUAAAACUCUGUUAUUAGGGAAGAACAUAUGUGUAAGUAACUGUGCACAUCUUGACGUUACCUAAUCAGAAAGCCACGGCUAACUACGUG